rnacentral:other from 1 species
GUAAAUCUGUGAUGUGCGAGUUGUCCUCUUUGUGUGUUGACCGAACAUUUUUAUUGAUAUAUUGGGACCCGUCUUGUGUCAAUGCUGGUAACAUGCCUUUUCUUUUGGUAGUUCGAAGCUCCGACCGUGGGACCCACCUGCUUGAAUUUGCGGGAUCAAUACUACAGGACGAGUAACGGCAUUAACGGAUCUUAC